rnacentral:lncRNA from 1 species
GGUGACAAGUCUGGGUCAGGACUUGAGAGCAGCCUGACGGGACACUACGCGCUCUCCAAGGAUGCUCACGAGACAGGGAACACUUACGAGAAAGCAGAGGCCGCAGAGAGGACCAACGACUUCCGAUCACAGCCCCUCCGCCUCAUGUGACCGGGCUUCAGGAACGCUGACGCACUUUGAGGACCGGCCGGAAUAACUUCCAAAGGGCGUAAGGAUGAAAGGGCUGACCCAGAAAGACAUUCCCCAAGCUGUCUUUCAGCUCUGUUGUUCUGUAGUUUUUAUCCUCCUACAAACCAGGAGCUGAGAGCACCAAGCCCUGUGUUUGAAGAAGCGUGCUUUCCAGACAUGAGGAAGCCCCUGAAGGAUCUUGGGCAAGAGAGUGACGUGAUCAAUCAUAGCUUUUAGAAGAGGGGCGGCCUGGAGGAUGGGCUCUGCUGUGGAGAGGAGGGCAUGCUCCAUGUGCAGGAGGUGGUUGAAGCCACGAGAGUGAAUGAGACCACCCAGGAGGGGACAGGGUGUGAAGCGAAGAGGGAGCCUGAGGGGACAGCAGCCUGGAGAGGAUGAUCCAGAAAGACAGAAAGAAAGUUAAAAUUACUUACGACCCCAUUUCCCGGAGAAAGACAUGGUUAAUAUUUUGCUGUGUAUUCCAGUGUGUUUUCAUCGAUGGGCACACGUGUUC